rnacentral:tRNA from 1 species
GGGCCCGUAGCUUAGUUGGUAGAGCGCCGCAUUUGCACUGCGGAGGUCAGGAGUUCGAAUCUCCUCGGGUCCACAA